GUCGGUGAUGAAUUCGUCUUCGUCCAAAAUUGCUCGAAAUCCAUAAAUAGAUGAUUACUAAAAUAGAAGUCCGCAUUCUUUAGCUGACAGAAUUAUCGUGUCCAUUCCAGAAGAAUAUAAUUAACUUUAAAAAUCUUACGCCCUUCAUAAGGAAUCUGUGAUUAUAGUAAUCCAUUUAUUAAUCGUUAGAGAAAGUGGUCUUUGGGGACUACCACCUCCAUCAAAUUUUAUUGGUUAAGUACCUCAUCUCUUGUCAGCUGAUUACACGUCAGAACGUUUCAUUUUGAUAUAAC
rnacentral:lncRNA from 1 species